GAUGAACGCUGGCGGCGUGCUUAACACAUGCAAGUCGAACGAUGACCUGGUGCUUGCACUGGUGAUUAGUGGCGAACGGGUGAGUAACACGUGAGUAACCUGCCCUUAACUCUGGGAUAAGCCUGGGAAACUGGGUCUAAUACCGGAUAUGACUCCUCAUCGCAUGGUGGGGGGUGGAAAGCUUUUUUGUGGUUUUGGAUGGACUCGCGGCCUAUCAGCUUGUUGGUGAGGUAAUGGCUUACCAAGGCGACGACGGGUAGCCGGCCUGAGAGGGUGACCGGCCACACUGGGACUGAGACACGGCCCAGACUCCUACGGGAGGCAGCAGUGGGGAAUAUUGCACAAUGGGCGGAAGCCUGAUGCAGCGACGCCGCGUGAGGGAUGACGGCCUUCGGGUUGUAAACCUCUUUCAGUAGGGAAGAAGCGUAAGUGACGGUACCUGCAG
rnacentral:rRNA from 1 species